GUCCCUUUGGGGACAUUUGAUAAAAUUAGAACGAUACAGAGAAGAUUAAUUAGCAUGAUCCCUGCGUAAGAAUGACAUGCACAAAUUGAGAAGUGGUAAUAUUUACU
rnacentral:snRNA from 1 species